rnacentral:rRNA from 1 species
UUGCACGAUGGGGGAAACCCUGAUGCAGCAACGCCGCGUGAGUGAUGACGGCCUUCGGGUUGUAAAGCUCUGUCUUCAGGGACGAUAAUGACGGUACCUGAGGAGGAAGCCACGGCUAACUACGUGCCAGCAGCCGCGGUAAUACGUAGGUGGCAAGCGUUGUCCGGAUUUACUGGGCGUAAAGGGAGCGUAGGCGGACUUUUAAGUGAGAUGUGAAAUACCCGGGCUCAACCUGGGUGCUGCAUUUCAAACUGGAAGGCUAGAGUGCAGGAGAGGAGAGGGGAAUUCCUAGUGUAGCGGUGAAAUGCGUAGAGAUUAGGAAGAACACCAGUGGCGAAGGCGACUCUCUGGACUGUAACUGACGCUGAGGCUCGAAAGCGUGGGGAGCAAACA